rnacentral:rRNA from 1 species
GACGAACGCUGGCGGCGUGCUUAACACAUGCAAGUCGAACGGAAAGGCCCUGCUUUUGUGGGGUGCUCGAGUGGCGAACGGGUGAGUAACACGUGAGUAACCUGCCCUUGACUUUGGGAUAACUUCAGGAAACUGGGGCUAAUACCGGAUAGGAGCUCCUGCUGCAUGGUGGGGGUUGGAAAGUUUCGGCGGUUGGGGAUGGACUCGCGGCUUAUCAGCUUGUUGGUGGGGUAGUGGCUUACCAAGGCUUUGACGGGUAGCCGGCCUGAGAGGGUGACCGGCCACAUUAGGACUGAGAUACGGCCCAGACUCCUACGGGAGGCAGCAGUGGGGAAUAUUGCACAAUGGGCGGAAGCCCGAUGCAGCAACGCCGCGUGCGGGAUGACGGCCUUCGGGUUGUAAACCGCUUUCGCCUGUGACGAAGCGUGAGUGACGGUAAUGGGUAAAGAAGCACCGGCUAACUACGUG